GUUUACUUGUGUGUGGAUGGUGUUCAGCACCAGGGACAGAUGUGUUUACCUGUGUGUGGAUGGUGUUCAGCACCAGGGACAGGUGUGUUUACCU
rnacentral:pre_miRNA from 1 species